AGAAUCAACGCUGGCGGCGUGCCUAACACAUGCAAGUCGCACGAGAAAGUGGAGCAAUCCACGAGUAAAGUGGCGCACGGGUGAGUAACACGUGAAUAAUCUACCUCCGAGUGGGGAAUAACUGAGAGAAAUCUUAGCUAAUACCGCAUAAUACCCACGGGUCAAAGCAGCAAUGCGCUUGGAGAGGAGUUCGCGGCCGAUUAGCUAGUUGGCGGGGUAAUGGCCCACCAAGGCGAUGAUCGGUAU
rnacentral:rRNA from 1 species